AGGAUGAGGUUAACUGUUUCUUAACUUUUAACUAAAAAAAUUAAGAACCGAUUUUUAAAUAAAAAUUUUAAGAACCGAUUCUUAGCUUUUUUGGUUAAAAAUUAAGAAACAGUUCCUUAACUU
rnacentral:pre_miRNA from 1 species